CAAGUAGCUGUGACAGCUGAAUUCAGCACAUGAGCUACACUUAGAAAGCACUGCCUGAUUUUCUGAUAGAAAAUACUACAGUUAAAUAGAGAGGCCAGAGCCUGUAGCUUAAAAUGGGGGAAAAAUGAUGAAGAUAGUUCGCAUAGAACGUGGCUUUUGAGGAUAAAAGCUUCCUGACAGAAGAGAGGAAGAUUGUUACUGUGUAUUUAUAUAAAGCCAAGGCCAGUUUUUUGUGGGCUCCAUUGAAGCUGUGCCAAUUUACACCACCUCUAAAGAGUUCAUUAAACCUCUGUCUCACCAGCACAUUGCUCCAGGAUUUGAACAUUUGUUCAUCUGAAAGAUUCAUUAUCCUCCUAAUCCAGCUUGGUACCUUUUUUAAGACUGGGUGUGAAAUGUUGGUGGUUCCUGCACUUUCUCCCUGCAUUAAACACCCACUGCAUUCCCUGCAGAGUCUGGGAAGUUACAAGUGUCUGUUUAGCUGGGAUGGGAAAGGACCCGAGACCCAGACUGGAGCUUUCUAAAUCAGCUGUGCUUUGGAUUCAGGGCUCUGCUGCCCCUCAGAGCAAAGGGCCUUUUAUUGCUGCCACCUUGGGCUGUUUGUGCUAAAGUCAGUCAAGUCAGAUGAAUAAUUUGCACUGAGUUUUGAUUGAUUUUGUGUCUUUUUCAGUUUGCCAGGGAGCAAGGAACCAAUUGCAAUUCCUCAUUAAAAAUCACUUCUGCUUAAUUCCUGCAACUCCAGUUGUGGACACUGAAUAUCAACCCUAAGCCUUGAUAGUUGGCUUCUCCUGAACAUCCCUAAUCCGUGAGGUGCUGAUCAGCGAUGGCUGAGUUUGCAAGCAAUGAGAGCCCUUGUUAGGAAUGGUUUUCGUCAUCUCCCAGCACAAUGAAGAGAUUGCUGCCACACAAUGCACUCAUCACUCGGCAUUGUCCUUUCCCAGCAAAGAACCCAUCUGAAGAUGUUCUCUUGUUUUUCUGAUUGUGGAAUGUCUGAGACCAGAACAGAAUGGUACCAGAUUGGUUUGAUCACAGGGAUGUCCCAAGGGAAAUUCCCACCUGCCCUGUGCCCGCUGAACAGAGAAUUGCUCAGGAGCCUCUCAGCAAGCUUUGCUCCCUGUUUUCUGGGCAGUGUAAAUGACCUGGAGCACACUAAAGCCCUCAGCAGCCAGGGCACUGAUGCCAGCAGGGAGGAAAUGCCCACACGUUCAGCACCAACACUUCAGGAGGAAAUAGCUGAGGAGAGCUGAGCCAACACCCUGCUGAAGAGUUCCACACGUGUUUCUUCCCCCUCAGCUCCUGCAUCUCCUGUACUCAGCAGAUGUUAAGGUCAGGUGAUCAAUUAUGAAAAAUAAAAAUUCAAAUAUUUACA
rnacentral:lncRNA from 1 species